AGUGAACGCUGGCGGUAGGCCUAACACAUGCAAGUCGAACGGCAGCACAGUAAGAGCUUGCUCUUACGGGUGGCGAGUGGCGGACGGGUGAGGAAUACAUCGGAAUCUACUUUUUCGUGGGGGAUAACGUAGGGAAACUUACGCUAAUACCGCAUACGACCUACGGGUGAAAGCAGGGGAUCUUCGGACCUUGUGCGAUUGAAUGAGCCGAUGUCGGAUUAGCUAGUUGGCGGGGUAAAGGCCCACCAAGGCGACGAUCCGUAGCUGGUCUGAGAGGAUGAUCAGCCACACUGGAACUGAGACACGGUCCAGACUCCUACGGGAGGCAGCAGUGGGGAAUAUUGGACAAUGGGCGCAAGCCUGAUCCAGCCAUACCGCGUGAGUGAAGAAGGCCUUCGGGUUGUAAAGCCCUGUUGUUGGGAAAGAAAAGCAGCAGGUGAAUACCCCGCUGUUCUGACGGUACCCAAAGAAUAAGCACCGGCUAACUUCGUG
rnacentral:rRNA from 1 species